UAACUGGUAAAUCAUCUACCCAUUCAGCGCCUUGGAGUAGUGAUGUCCAAUCGUCCUCAGUGAGACCUUCUAGAACAGGUGAUAGCAUUGGUUGCUCGCCCUCAUUGGUAGCUCCUGCACAUGUGACUGUGUCGGCUAUUCCGUGUCAACAUUUGAAUGUAGCAAGGGUACAUCUUGGCUCAGCCGUGAGAUUUCUGGUGAUGCAUUAUUCAGAACGACAUCUCAGCGAUGCCACGAUGUGUACUAGUUCAUCGCAUCACCAAUAACCUCAAUCCCCUCAUCAAUAGGGAUGUCAAUCUCGCAUGACUCAUCCAACAUCGUAACAACUUGUACCCAGGCGUAUUCUGGAGGGGGUUCCUUUGGGAACACAUCACCUGUUACUUCCAUGCCGGUUGCAACCUCUCAAAAC
rnacentral:lncRNA from 1 species